rnacentral:lncRNA from 1 species
CCGCCUUUCGUUGUCGCCCUCUUCCAUUUCUUGGAUAUUUCUUUAGCUUCAGUAGCACCGAAUUCCUUUAGGUUUUUGAUAGGGUUCCUCUCCCUUUGCCAUGUAGUCAAAGUUCAGCCAUCUCUUUCUUUGUUUAGACACUUUUACACCUUCAAGCGUCACCCCUCGACAAAGGACUGGUGGUAUUUCUCCCCCCAGUUUGGCAAGAAGGGGUUACUGAAAGGUGCUCCCU